UACAGGGGGUGCAAACGUUGCUCGGAAUCAUUGGGCGUAAAGAGCUCGUAGGCGGUCUGUCGCGUCGGCUGUGAAAUCCCGAGGCUCAACCUCGGGUCUGCAGUCGAUACGGGCAAACUAGAGUAUUGCAGGGGAGACUGGAAUUCCUGGUGUAGCGGUGAAAUGCGCAGAUAUCAGGAGGAACACCGGUGGCGAAGGCGGGUCUCUGGGCCGUAACUGACGCUGAGGAGCGAAAGCAUGGGUAGCGAACAGG
rnacentral:rRNA from 1 species